GCUUGGAUAGUUUAAUUUAAAAUGUUGAUUUGUGGGGUCAGUGAUAUAGUGUUUAUUUCAGGCU
rnacentral:tRNA from 1 species